rnacentral:rRNA from 1 species
AAUAGCCUAACGGCUGAACCAGCAAUUUGAAGGAAUGUAUAGCGAUAGCUAAUUGCAUAAUAUUAUGCAAUAUCGAUAAAGUCGAAUAAAAUUCUGAAUAGAUUUAGAUAAUGACUUAAUUUAUUCACAGGUCUUGACUAAAUUGCGUGCCAGCAGUCGCGGUAAGACGUAUAAGACUAGUAUUAUUCAUCUUUAGCAGGUUUAAAGGGUACUUAGACAGUGAAUAAAGCCAUAAAAGGGACUGAUUUACUAGAGUUACUUGUAAAGGGGCUAUAAAGUACUGGUGGAGUAAAGAUAAAAUGUUAAUAUACUUUUUUUUCGUAAGAAUUAAUAAUGGCACUGGUAAAGGCGAAAGCAUCCUCUUAUGUGAUAACUGACGUUAAAAGACGAAGGCUUUGAGUAACGAAUAGGAUUAGAUACCCUAAUAGUCGAAGCAGAAAAUGAUGAGUGUCAUAGACUGGAAUAUGUUUAGUCUAUAAAUGAAAGUGCAAGCACUCCACCUUAAGAGUAAUGUGGCAACACCGAAAUUGAAAUCAUUAGACCGUUUCUGAANNNNNNNNNNNNNNNNNNNNNNUAAUUUGAUGAUCCGCAAAAAACCUUACCACAACUUGAAUAUUUACAAGCGUUGCACGGCUGUCUUAAGUUAAUGUCGUAAGAAUUUGGUUGAUUCCAUUUAAUUGACGUAAACCCUCGUUUUACUUUAAUGUAGAACGGUUCACCGUUAUAUUGGAUAUGAUAAUAGGGAAGAAGACAAGUCAUCAUGGCCUGAAUGUUGU